CCCUGGGUGGCUCAGUCGGUUGAGCGUCUGACUUCGGCUCAGGUCAUGAUCUCACAGUUCGUGGGUUCGAGCCCCACAUCAGGCU
rnacentral:tRNA from 1 species